AGCAUCGGCCCGACUUUCUCGACUCUCCAUUGGCGUUGUAUCGAUCGGAGAUGAAGACGACGGGCAGCCGGGCAGGAGAGAGGCUGCAGGGUCCCAAGUGAGACAAAUUAGGGUGGAGAAAGAUGAAUCGGAAAUGCUUCGCACCGCCGUCCGACGCGAGUCCAUAAAAUCGGAUGUAUUUUACUUUUGUCCAGCACACUAGAUCUAAGUACGCAAUCUUUCCCAUGUCCUCCUCGGUAUUUUCCUCAUCUCUCGCCUUCAUCAUCUUCUCUUUUAAACUCUCUAUCUAUUUCUCUCAAGUAGCUAGAGCUCCUAUAAGCAGGCAGCAAUUGCAAUACAGAGCUGCGACCUGUGAGAUCUCCUCCUUUCAUGCGUGGGAUCCGAACUGAGAAAUCAUCUUCUGUCUGUGUGUUCUUCCCCUCCCUCUAUUACUCUCUCUCUCUCUGAUCGUAGAGGAGUUAGGACUCCAACUGCUUUCUCUAUCUUCGCCAAGUCUAUCAAGGAUCAAGGAACAGAGAAAUCCACGGGAUCUUCUUCUUUGCCACCAUCCUCAGCCGCCUGCCAGCACCGGUCUUUAUCACUGACAAAGUAAAGCAGCAGCUGGAUGUUUAAAUAAGGGCCCGGCAACCAGUCUCAAGCAGGCCUCCAUAAUAUCAAGCAGGCCUGUGCCUUCGACAAAGACAAACGGAGGCGAACUAAACUUGAAAGGGACACUUAUCCUGUCUCUGACGCCGGGGAUCACUGGCAUCCCGCGGCGUCGCCGGCGAUCUGGCAGGCUCACCGCUCACCGGAAGCGUGGAGGAACUGAUUCCAGUGGCCUUUGCCCCGGAUGAUUGGGUUGGUUG